AGAUUGAACGCUGGCGGCAUGCCUUACACAUGCAAGUCGAACGGCAGCACGGGAGCAAUCCUGGUGGCGAGUGGCGAACGGGUGAGUAAUAUAUCGGAACGUGCCCAGUCGUGGGGGAUAACGCAGCGAAAGCUGUGCUAAUACCGCAUACGAUCUAUGGAUGAAAGCGGGGGAUCGCAAGACCUCGCGCGAUUGGAGCGGCCGAUAUCAGAUUAGCUAGUUGGUGGGGUAAAAGCCUACCAAGGCGACGAUUUGUAGCUGGUCUGAGAGGACGACCAGCCACACUGGAACUGAGACACGGUCCAGACUCCUACGGGAGCAGCAGUGGGAAUUUUGGACAAGUGGGCGCAAGCCUGAUCCAGCAAUGCCGCGUGCAGGAUGAAGGCCUUGGUGUAACUGUCGUUUGGUACCGGAACGUAAACGUUCUACUUCUAAGUACGGAGGGACUAAGUGGAACGGUAACGUAAG
rnacentral:rRNA from 1 species